AGCUCGUAGGUGGUUUGUCGCGUUGUUCGUGAAAUCUCACGGCUUAACUGUGAGCGUGCGGGCGAUACGGGCAGACUUGAGUACUGCAGGGGAGACUGGAAUUCCUGGUGUAGCGGUGGAAUGCGCAGAUAUCAGGAGGAACACCGGUGGCGAAGGCGGGUCUCUGGGCAGUAACUGUCGCUGAGGAGCGAAAGCGUGGGGAGCGAACAGGAUUAGAUACCCUGGUAGUCCACGCCGUAAACGGUGGGUACUAGGUGUGGGUUUCCUUCCUUGGGAUCCGUGCCGUAGCUAACGCAUUAAGUACCCCGCCUGGGGAGUACGGCCGCAGGGCUAAAACUCAAAGAAAUUGACGGGGGCCCGCACAAGCGGCGGAGCAUGUGGAUUAAUUCGAUGCAACGCGAAGAACCUUACCUGGGUUUGACAUGCACAGGACGCCGGCAGAGAUGUCGGUUCCCUUGUGGCCUGUGUGCAGGUGGUGCAUGGCUGUCGUCAGCUCGUGUCGUGAGAUGUUGGGUUAAGUCCCGCAACGAGCGCAACCCUUGUCUCAUGUUGCCAGCGGGUAAUGCCGGGGACUCGUGAGAGACUGCCGGGGUCAACUCGGAGGAAGGUGGGGAUGACGUCAAGUCAUCAUGCCCCUUAUGUCCAGGGCUUCACACAUGCUACAAUGGCCGGUACAAAGGGCUGCGAUGCCGCGAGGUUAAGCGAAUCCUUUUAAAGCCGGUCUCAGUUCGGAUCGGGGUCUGCAACUCGACCCCGUGAAGUCGGAGUCGCUAGUAA
rnacentral:rRNA from 1 species